AAAUACACUCAAUAUUUGAGCAAAAUUUUCUUUCUAAUGUUUCAUUGGUUCAUUUUUUGUGUGUUUCUAGAUUUACUUAAUUAAUUUUAUUAAUUUUUAUACUUAAAAUUAUUUUAUUUAUUUAUUUAAUUUGUAUUUAUGUAUAUGUGUCUGUGUGAGUGUACGUUGUGUGUAUAUGGGAGUCCUUGGAAGCCAGAAGAGGGUGUCAUAUCUGCUGGAGCCAGAGUUACAGGAGAGAUUGUAAGCUCUCCAAUCUGUAUGCGGGACCCAAACUUGUGUUCUUUGAAAAUGCAGCAAGCGCGCUUAGCUGCUGAGCUAUCCCUUUAGCGCCCCGAGUCCGUUAUUCUCAUCAGCAGCAAUGGAUGUGUGACCCGUUUUGACAACUCUUCUGUUAGGCAGGAGAAUCUAUUUUCCAUUUAUUAGGGUCACAAGCUCUCAAAAGGACAACAAUAUUUCACCUUCUUCCUUUCAUUCCAUCCCUCCCUGAGCUUGGCACCCCUGGACCCCGUGGGGCCUUCUUUCAGUUCUCAUAGACAAGGACCAGCUGCAGAGGGAUAAUUAAGAAAAGAGACUCAUCAGGGUGCCAGGUGGACCCUGCAGACAGAAGACUGAAGAUUUUCUCAUCAGGGGGAGAGCAGGGCCCUGGAACUCUUGCAGUCUCUGCUCCUUCAAUCACCUUGCUUCAGUGAGGCAGUCAGCUGUUUCCCAAGGUCAGAUUCAUCAGUCCCCCUAAACUGCCAAGAGCAGCCAACGGGAGAGUCCUCGCAAUGCUUUUAAUGCUGGCUUCGUCCCAUCAGCUGCAAAGGUGAUCUGGCACUCUUCAAAUUACAGUGCCUUCAAGGACAGUCUCAGCAGGAGAGAGGCCCCACAAGGAAGCCGGGCAUCCCCCUCACGAAGGCCAGCUGCACCGGUGGGGCUGGCUGAGCUUCUCGGGACAUUUGUAGGUCAAUAGAAACCAGCACCGGGAGUUAAGGGGAGAUUCUUAGUGAGCAGAACAGUUUUGUACAAUCAAGGACACUGCGGUCAAGGUGUGUACACCCAACAAGCCAUACUUGAUUCAGUCAAAAAGAAUAUGGAAAAGUAGCGGACAUCCACUAUACUUUACAUCUUUUGGACCAAAAAAUAAAGAAAAUGGCACGUACUUUGAAA